rnacentral:rRNA from 1 species
AGCAGCCGCGGUAAUUCCAGCUCCAAUAGCGUAUAUUAAAGUUGUUGCAGUUAAAAAGCUCGUAGUUGAAUUUCGGGAUCAAUGCGUCGGUCGUGCCUUCGGUACGUACUAGCGUCAUUGAUUCCUCCCUUCUGAAGAACCGUGAUGUCAUUAAUUUGGUGUUACGGGGAAUCAGGACUGUUACCUUGAAAAAUUAGAGUGUUUAAAGCAGGCUAACGCUUGAAUACAUUAGCAUGGAAUAAUGAAAUAGGACGUUCGAACCUAUUUUGUUGGUUUCUAGGAUCGACGUAAUGAUUAAUAGGGAUAGUUGGGGGCAUUAGUAUUCAAUUGUCAGAGGUGAAAUUCUUGGAUUUAUUGAAGACUGACUACUGCGAAAGCAUUUGCCAAGGAUGUUUUCAUUAAUCAAGAACGAAAGUUAGGGGAUCGAAGACGAUCAGAUACCGUCGUAGUCUUAACCAUAAACUA